rnacentral:misc_RNA from 1 species
AAUUAAUAAUAUUUGUGAAUUUACCACAACAAACAUCAAUCAUACAAUCAAUAAUUAAAAAAUUAAAACUUUUAACAAUGGAUCUCUUGGUUCU